GAAGCUGAUAAGAUCCCCUCCAGAAAUGAGGUUGAUCAGAAUGACUAGAUCUCAAGGCCAUGGUCAGGCCUUGAAGUAGGAGAGAGGACAAGAGACAGAAAUACCCGCAAGAGAAGUCAGUAUGUCUUUAGAUCAUCAAAUCAAAGUGCGUCUGGGAUGUCUGCGGGCAUUAGUCACAUCAGAGCAAAGGCCACCACUAUCUCUCAGCCUCUUCAUGGGACUACAAAUGCU